rnacentral:rRNA from 1 species
UACAGAGGGUGCGAGCGUUAAUCGGAAUUACUGGGCGUAAAGCGUGCGCAGGCGGUUCGUUAAGUCAGAUGUGAAAGCCCCGGGCUCAACCUGGGAACUGCAUUUGAAACUGGCGGGCUUGAGUAUGGCAGAGGGGGGUGGAAUUCCGCGUGUAGCAGUGAAAUGCGUAGAGAUGCGGAGGAACACCGGUGGCGAAGGCGGCCCCCUGGACCGGUACUGACGCUGAGGCGCGAAAGCGUGGGUAGCAAACGGG